rnacentral:tRNA from 1 species
GGAUUCAUAGCUCAGUUGGUGAGAGCGUCAUACUGUUGUCGUGGGGUCACAGGUUCAAACCCUGUUGAAGUCCU